GGUGUGUAUAUAUUACUACUCGCUCAGUCCCCUCGUUUCCUUACGGUUAUUAUUUUGAGAUGUCCCUCUCAUUUUUUUACGUUACUAUAAAUAGUAAGUUUUUUCCAUCAUUACACCCACUAUCUUCCACAACUAUCUCAUAUUUAACAAUAAAACUACUAUUACACCCACUACUUUCCUCCACAAUCUCAAAUCUAUUAUUAAAUAUUAAUAGGUCCCACCAUUUUACACACUUUUCAUCAAACUUUACUCAUUUUUUAUACAUUGUCUUGGUCUCCGUGUCCUCCAAUGUAAACAAUUGAGGGGGACGGAGGGAGUACUACUAUAUUUGGUUCAUAUAACAAGUUUCGACACCAGUAUAUCUAAAAACACGCAUUGUGUUGACAGGAGAAUUGAAUCAGAUGAAGAAUGUAUAUGAUAUUUAAUACGUACAGCUCCAACAUGAGCCUGCAAGUUCAUAAGACAAAGACGGGGAUGAUGGUGGUAUGGGUGACCCAUGCGCUUAUUGAUGAAUGAAUAGUCUGGCGUUUUCAAUCUUUUGGCACCACUAUGCUGUUCCAUCCACCACUAUGCAAUGCAUACAGGAUAAGGCUGCUUAUAUACUUUAAAUUUGGUAGCAUGCUUGCUUUUGGGAUAUCACCACAUAGAAUUAGACAGCCCUAACAUUAUAGGAGUACAUAG
rnacentral:lncRNA from 1 species